rnacentral:rRNA from 1 species
GACGAACGCUGGCGGCGCGCCUAACACAUGCAAGUCGAACGGAGUCACGAGGAGCUUGCUUUUCUUGACUUAGUGGCGCACGGGUGAGUAACGCGUGAGUAACCUCCUCUGGAUUGGGGGACAACAGGUGGAAACGACUGCUAACACCGCAUAAGCCCACCGAUCCGCAUGGUUCUUCGGGAAAAGGAUUUAUUCGCUUCAGUAUGGACUCGCGUCCACUUAGCUAGUUGGUGGGGUAACGGUCCACGAAGGCGGCGAUUGGUAGCCGGACUGAGAGGGUGAACGGUCAGAUUGGGACUGAGACACGGCCCAGACUCGUACGGGAGGCAGCAGUGGGGGAUAGUGCACAAUGGGGGAGACGCUGAUGGAGCGACGGCGCGUGGAGGAAGAAGGUUUUCGGAUUGUAAACUACUGUCGUUAGGGACGAUAUUGACGGUAGCUAAGAAGAAAGCACCGGCUAACUACGUG